rnacentral:rRNA from 1 species
UACGAAGGGGGCUAGCGUUGCUCGGAAUCACUGGGCGUAAAGGGUGCGUAGGCGGGUCUUUAAGUCAGGGGUGAAAUCCUGGAGCUCAACUCCAGAACUGCCUUUGAUACUGAAGAUCUUGAGUUCGGGAGAGGUGAGUGGAACUGCGAGUGUAGAGGUGAAAUUCGUAGAUAUUCGCAAGAACACCAGUGGCGAAGGCGGCUCACUAGCCCGAUACUGACGCUGAGGCACGAAAGCGUGGGGAGCAAACAGG